AUUGAACGCUGGCGGCGUGCUUAACACAUGCAAGUCGAUCGGUAACGCGGGGGCAACCCUGGCGACGAGAGGCGGACGGGUGAGGAACGCUUGGGAAUCUGCCCUUCAGCGGGGGACAACCCGGGGAAACUCGGGCUAAUACCGCAUACGCUCCACGGAGGAAAGCCGGGGACCGCAAGGCCUGGCACUGAAGGAUGAGCCCAAGUCGGAUUAGCUAGUUGGCGGGGUAACGGCCCACCAAGGCGACGAUCCGUAGCUGGUCUGAGAGGACGAUCAGCCACACUGGGACUGAGACACGGCCCAGACUCCUACGGGAGGCAGCAGUGGGGAAUAUUGGACAAUGGGGGAAACCCUGAUCCAGCGACGCCGCGUGGGUGAAGAAGGCCUGCGGGUUGUAAAGCCCUUUCGGUAGGGACGAAAGCUCUCGACCUAACACGUCGGGGAGGAUGACUUAACCUACCAAAAGAGCACCGGGCUAACUUCUGUG
rnacentral:rRNA from 1 species